ensembl:snRNA U6 U6 spliceosomal RNA
GUGCUCGCUUCGGCAGCAUAUAUAUUAAAACUGGAAUGAUACAGAGAUUAGCAUGGCCCCUGCGCAAGGAUGACACGCAAAUUUGUGAAGCAUUCCAUAUUUUU